rnacentral:lncRNA from 1 species
CUUCAAAUGCUCUUGGAAGGCAUUAAGUACAAGCAUUUAAUUAUAUGAAUAUGUAGUGGCCUACGUGCUAAUUUCUUUUUCUUAUUUAAAGUGCACAUAGCCAAAAUGAGCUUCAUGUGUCCUGGAUACAUUGCUUAUAAUUUUCUGUACUGUAUUUGUUUUUCUGUAGCAGAAUAUUAGUAUCAAUUUGGUUUGAAAAUUCUUUGUGCAUAUCUAAUUGUCAUGCCAAUCGAAUGUAUUUUAAAUGUGAUCCAGAAAAAAAAAUUAAGGAUAUUUGCUUUUUGCUGAAAUCAUGAUGCCUAUUUCAGUGUGAAUCCUGGGUGCUCACAUUUCAAAUUCAUCUUUAGUGUAUUCAUCCUUUCAAAAAUGGUACCAAGAUCAUAUUGAAGAGGAUAGUUUUUGAGUGUGCCACUGAAUCUUCCUAGAAAGAAACCACCUGAGUUUUUCCCAAUCUUGUUUUGUGCAUAGUUAAGGAAGAAGAAUCAGUUUUGAUUUUUUUUUUAAAUCAAAAGCAAUUACACCUUAAGUGUAAAGAGUAAUAGUCUUAAUUUUUUUCAUGUUUGUGAAGUUGUGUGGUUUUUUCCUGAAAAAAAAAAAAAGUAUUAUCAAAGCAGUUGGUUUACACUGUAUGUUUUUACCUAUUGUUUUCUUCUCAAAAUGCUAGCAAUAUGGCAACCCUGGUGGACUGAAUUAAGAAGCACUCAUCAUAAAUAAUGCAUAAAUUAAUAUUUCAUAGUGUUAAAAUAAAACAAAUCAAAUAUUCAAAAUAUUUCUAAUAGAAAUAGAACUAAUUUGUUGGCUCAACACCAAUGCGUAUUAAAAGCCCAAUUAACAACUUUGCUACACAUGUAGCACUGCAGGCCGCUGUUCCAGUAGUUGCCCUUACCUGCAACAAAAACUGUGUAUGGAUUCCAGAGAAUGCAAAACACCACUAAUAGUGCAAGCAUUUUGAUAUAAAUUAUUAUUUCUUUCUACUAGUUGUUUUUACAGAAUGCUGGAAUUUUCUUUUUACAAUAUUGUACCUCUCAGGCAAAGGUUGCCAUUUGUGCCAACUUUCAGGUGUUAGUUUAAUGUGGCAUGUUACAGAACUUGUAGCUGAGUCAAGACAGCAAAUACACAAUUUAAAUAAAAGCUGUCAAAAUGCAAAAUACUUUGUACA